ACGGCCGUACCAUGCUGAAUAUACCGGUUCUCGUUAGAUCACCGAAGUCAAGCAUCAUUGGGCGCGGUCAGUACUUGGGUGGGUGACCACCUGGGAACACCGCGUGCCGUUA